rnacentral:rRNA from 1 species
GAUGAACGCUGGCGGCGUGCCUAAUACAUGCAAGUCGAGCGAACAGACGAGGAGCUUACUCCUCUGACGUUAGCGGCGGACGGGUGAGUAACACGUGGAUAACCUACCUAUAAGACUGGGAUAACUUCGGGAAACCGGAGCUAAUACCGGAUAACAUGUUGAACCGCAUGGUUCAACAGUGAAAGACGGUCUUGCUGUCACUUAUAGAUGGAUCCGCGUCGCAUUAGCUAGUUGGUAAGGUAACGGCUUACCACGGCAACGAUGCGUAGCCGACCUGAGAGGGUGGUAGGCCACACUGGAACUGAGACACGGUCCAGACGCCUACGGGAGGCAGCAGUAGGGAAUCUGCCGCAAUGGGCGAAAGCCUGACGGAGCAGCGCCGCGUGAGUGAAGAAGGUCUUCGGAUCGUAAAACUCUGUUAUGAGGGAAGAACAAAUGUGUAAGUAACUAUGCACGGCUUGACGGUACCUGGUCAGAAAGCCACGGCUAACUACGUG